AAUCGAAAAAGGCAAACCGUCUGAAAAGGCGGGACGCAAAACUACAGGGGCUAAGGAUGCACUUCUAUGCCUGCCAGUUGCCGUU
rnacentral:ncRNA from 1 species